GUCUCCUUAGUUGUCUCCUUCACUGUCACACCGACAGGAAAGAAUGUGGAAUAUUCCUGCAGCACUGAAAACACCUUAUAGGGGGAGAUGUGCUCAUUACCAGAAUACACUACUGUACGCUCAGCAGUGCCAGCAUCAGUAAAAUGAUGGUAAACUGCAUCAGCUGCCUUCUGUCUGCCGGCAUAUUUUGUCUGAGCUCACUUCCAGUGCUGGGCUACCUCUGAUUCAGGACUGUGUCCAGCAUGAGGUAUGCUGUAAAGCGGAGAUGGCGAAGGAAUGCUGUAGGAGGAUCAGACUUCUUGAAGGGGGAUUUGGAAGAGCAUCUGCAAGGUAACCAUUUCUUACUGUCCUCGUUCAGAGAUCUCUGGCUCAGUUAUGGAGGUACAGUGACAAUUUUUCUUUUACGUUCAAGUCCUUCACAACUUGCCAUACUCUGGUGCUUUGCAAAUGCCAGUGGAAAGCUCCCUGCGGAAUCAAAUCCCAGCCUUGCUAAAUUAGAGAUAUAAUAUGAAAGGUGCACUAUAAAUCAUAGUGUGCCUUCGUAGCUCCAUUCCUAUGUGAACAGUAUGCUAGAGCCCGUGCAUUAAGCAAUAGAGCUCUGGCAAACAGAUCCAAUUCUGCAUCAGCUGACAAAAAACAUGAUUUACCCUAAAGAUUUGCAUAUAGAGAAACUGUUACAGACUCCCAGCUGGUGUUUUUCCUCACCUCUUGUGUUUGUGGCAGAAAGAAAUACUUGGAGCUGACAAGCUGGUUAGCUGUCAAUUAGCUGAAUGUGCUCAGUGCUGCAGAUAAUGCAGCCAAGCAAAAUGUGCUUGGGUGGUGAGGCAGUGGCACAGGUUGCCCUGAGGUGGUGGAUGCCCCAUCCCUGCAGACAC
rnacentral:lncRNA from 1 species